AUGAUGGGAGGUGGGUCCAGGGUGAGAAUCCAGUGGGUAAAGGGAAAAGUGGUGUAAGGGAGGAGUAAUACAGGGCAGGGGCCGAUAAGGUAGGAUGGGUGGAACAGUGCAGUGAACAUAAACCAGUGGGGGGGGCGGGGGGGUACAGGGAUACAAGAACUUUCCAGAGCUGGGAGGAGACAAGGGAUGACAUAACUGGGAAUAGAGGCAACCAAUGGGAAAUGAGGGUUAUAAAGCUUUACCUUAAAGCUUUGCCAUAAAGAAUUUUUAAAACCUUUGACAACCUUCUUAGGAGCUAUUCUAAACUUAAACAAAUGCCCUCCAAGGUCUGGGGCCAUGGGCCAACUCCUCACCCAAAACACUGGUCUGGCUUGGCAUGUCAGUCAGUCCGAUUCCUACACUGGGCCUCUGCAUGAUAUUCGCCCAGAAGCUGCCUUUCAAGGACUGAAGUGGAACAAAAAGUAUAAAAGAAAUGUCAUUCCCAGAGGGAAAACAGUUUCAUUUCUCUUGUGUCUACUUUUUUUUUUUUUUUUAACAGUUACCUCAAAAUUCCCGGAUCCAGAACAGCUACUCUGAGUUUUGGUAGAGAUUCCAAAGCGGGAUACAGUAGGUUUCAAAGUACACCUUGGAAAAUCAAUCGUUUGUCUGCAGCAUGCAGCAUGUAGGUGUGAUGUCUGUAACUGGUCUUAGUUGAUGCAGAGGUACUUGGAAAAAAACGUUUAAUCUUUCAUCUCUCCCCACCUGCAUUCUUCCUAAGUGUACUUUUUAUUCAGCAGGACUCGGAUGAGAGAGAGAGAGAGAGAGAGAGGGAGGAACUCUCUUCACAUCAGCGUCAAAGGAAAAAGUGUUCAGCGACUUACAGUCCAGGUGACUGUUCUGUGUAAAAGCAGGAUUGUUUUGCCAUCAGACCUUGCGUGCCGUACCAGUCUGUGCGUUAACAGGUGCCUAAGAAAGGUCAAAAGGGAAUAACUCCAUGUCGUUCACUCGUGUGAAUCUUGGUGGGGAGCAGAGGCGAGAGUGAACUGCAGUGAGGGGGAGGUUACUGAAGCCCCAGUUUGUUUCCAGCGAGCGUGGUGUUGUGGUGUUCAAAGCUACAGGUGCCUGCUGGCCUGGAGCUGGAUACUUCUGCCUCUGCUUUCUUUGGGGGUUGAUGAUUCCUUAUGUUUAUGUUGGUGUGCCAGCAUCUUAGAUACUGACGACUCUUUCUCCUCUCAGUGUCUUCUCCCAUGUGCUUAUUUAGCUGCUUAGCUAAAGGAUUUGUCUAAUGGUAGUUAAGGAAUUCAGGUGCAGACUCCAACAGGACAGUCGUAGCUGCAGAUGAAUCUCUUUAAUGCUAUCAUCGAACCCCAGCAUGGUUAUUGCUCCCAGUUUUCCUUGUGGAAAUGUGAAACAGGAAUUCAUGGGUUCUUCCUGCAUGACUGAAGGUGUGUCCCACAGGAUGCUUUUGUGCAAGCAUAGGAGGAUGUACAGCAAACAUUUUUACUGCAGUGUUUUCCCCGUUGCCUGGUUCCAGGAGAGCAGAGCUCACUGUUCGUGCAGCAGACAGGUUUAUCCAAGUGCUGGCUCAGUGGCUCCAUGGUGAAAUCAUGUACUGCCUCUGGGCUUCAGAGUGUCAUGUGCAGAGAUUCGCUUUUAACACGACUUGAGUUAAAAUUCCUCUAAGAACUAAUCAGUCCAAGAUCCAUUCCACUACCGCUUUUUCAUGUUCUUGUUUCACUUUUUCCUGUUUGUGUUUCACAUCAGUUCUUUUCAUCUCUGAUUCCUUCACGGCACUUAGACCCCAUCUUAAUUUCAGGGAAGAUAUUUGGAUGCAAAUGAAGUUUUAAUUGGGAUGCUUUUCUAACUACUCUCCCUCCAGGAGAGCUGCCUCAGCCUGGAUGAGUGUGAGGGUACCCAGCUCUCCUUUAGGGCUGGGAGCACGGCAGGGUGCAGAGCUCAUGGUGAAUCUUGUUUCAACACUGUCAAUACCAAAAGAUGUUAGAACACAGUCCUUGAAGGAAUAACGUACAAAAGUCUACUGCAAGCCUAGGGACAAGCUGUCCUUCUUAAAGAUGUGCACUGAUGGAUGUUUUGUCAAACCCCUCUGGGGACGGAAUGUGUGCCAAAAGCUUGGUUAACCCCUUGUCUUCUGCUGCUAGGGCAGCGUCUUAGCCCAGGUCUCGGGGGCUGUGCGGAGGUUGCUCCCUGGAGCAGGGUCCCCCCGUGAGGAGGAGCCAGAGAUUGGGUCACUGGAGCAGGCGGUGCAGUGAGGAGCAAGUUGCUGGCUUACGUGAUUUCUGAGUGACCUGUCACAGAAACGGGCAUCUGUGUGUGCAGGUGCUUCCUGGCAAAUCCAGAUGUGACGUGGAAAUCCUAAGGGAGGAGUUCCAGCCUUGACCACGCGUGACACAGGCUUGUGGAAAUGGAAAUGGCCUUGGCAGAAGAGCAGCUGUGAGGUGAAGCAGGACUGCAAUACAGGUGCUGCCCAGGGGGGACAUCUGUGGCCUCAGACAGCGAUGGCCUUGGAGCAAGGGGAGCCUUUGCACAGCUCACCUGCAGAGCUCAGGUGGAUGGGACAGGAUUGGUGUGGCCUGAGAAGUCCUGAACAGCUGUGUCUGUGUUCUGCAGUGCCUUGAAACCUUUCUCUGUCAGGUUUUGGAGGGGUUUCUCUUUAGGAUUUCUUGUGAUGCAGCACCCCGGGUGUCCCUUUGUGCAAAGUCCAGUGGUGAAGGAGGAUUGAGUGAGUGACAAGUGGGGUCUGGCAUGAAAAUGGUUCUGUUAAAAUGGAGCAAAGACUGCAAUAAGAAAAACGAGCAUCCCUUUACUGUCUGAAAGGGUUAGGAAUAAAAAUGCUGGAGAAGGGCACUUUUAUAUUUGAAUUGGUGUCACCUGUCUUGGAUCAAGCCCCACAGUGAGCAAUCCAGAUCAGAAGUGUGUAAGCUGGGAUCCUUUGACUUCUGCAGGGGACUUCAUUUUCUUUUCUUCUUCUUCUCUUCCAGGACCGGAGAAAUGGUUGUGGAAUUAUUAGAUGGCUUUUGUUAGAUGCAGGUUUUAUUUUUUCGGAAGUUUUUUUACUGCAGCCCUUUUAAGAUGGUUUUCAAUAAUACAGUGUAUAGUUUUAUAUUGUUUGUAGGUGGCAUAUGAUAAGAGAUGUUGUCUAGUUAAUGCUGUAUCUUUUAGUUUAGGUGUUGAUAAGGUUUUUCUUGAGUUGAGUUUUGUUUUUGUGUGGUUUUUUUUUUUUUUGUGGGGUCUUGUUUCUAAAGGAUGCGUUGCUAAGGUUUCUGAUGGUGUUAGGGGCUGUAGCGUAAAGCAUAGGGCUGGUUUUCAGUUAUUUUGUGAUGGCUUUUAUUAUUGUGAGUAUUCAGUGUUUGUUUUGGGGGUUUGAGGUAAUGUCAUGUAGCUGAUUUAUUUGUUUUUUACUCUUAUAAUUGGGAUAUUAUAUGGGUUAUGUUAUUUAUAUUGGCUUGUUAUUAUAUCAAAGGGGUUUUAUGUGUUUGGUUUGUUUGAUUAGUAGUGUAUGUUUUAUUAGUUUUAUUAUUAUAUCAUUGGGCUUUUGUUUGUUAGCAGUAUAUGUUUUAUACUUGCAGAUAAUACGGGAGAUAUUGUUUAUGGUUAUAUUUAUCUUUUGGUUUUGUGUUUAUCUGUAGGUGGUAUUUGUGUAUUGAUGGUUUGAGACAUAAUGGGUUGAUUGAGCUUGGAGUUAACUUCUUUUGGCGUAGUUAAUUUAGGUUUAUUUGUGCAAUUUUUAUUUUUGGGUUUGAUUGGUUUGUUUGUUGUUUUGGUGUUUUUAUUAUUUUUAUUUUUUGGGAACAUGGAUAUUUAUAGAGUGGAUUAUUUUAGGUAGGUUUUUUUUUUACUGUAGUGUUUUUUUUUUUUUAAUAUUUUAGUGCUUUUAGGUUCUUGUAAUGUUGUCAAUUAGUUUGGGUUUUUAUAUUUCUUUGGUUUUUUUGGAAUGUUUAGGGUCAGUUGCCUUGUUCUGAGUUAAAUAAGAUGGUUUGAUUUAUUUUUUGUAGUAGUUCUUGUGAUUUGUUAUGAGGGUUUCUAUACAGUUUUAUUUCUGUUUCAUAUUUAGGAUGUGAUGGGAAUUGUUAGUGACAAGAGUGUAGUGUGUUUCUUUUUUUAUUGCUGGUAGUGGGUUGUAUGGUGUAGGUUUUGUAUUUUGCAGAGUAUUUUUUGCUUUUAUUUAGUGAGAUCCAAGUUUUUGGUUUUAGGUUCAUUUGUAAUUAUUUUCACCUCUUUGGGGAUUUAGAUUUUUGGUGUGAGUGCCCUGCCUGAUGACAGUAAUUGGUUGAUUUCAUGUGGUAUUGGUGGCAUGGUGGGUAGAGGGCAUUUUUGUUUUGACUAUUAAUUUUAAUAUUGGUAGAUGGGAUAGUAGGAGGAUUUGUGUUUUAGUGUUGAUUGGUUUUGAGGUGGUUUGGAUUUUUUGAUAACUUAAGGUGUUUUGUGAGCUGGUGGAUGUUUUAUGCUCUUGGUAGGAACACGGUGCUGUUUUCUCGAGUGUAUCCUUAGGAAGUGGAUUUUUUCAUUAGGUUUUUUGUUUGUUUUUCACGGUAAAAUGUGUUUUUAGGAGAACUUGGGUAACUUUAAAUAUAUUUUUGUUGAAGUUUUUUGUGUACUGUAGAGGAUGUGGAGUUUUCUUUUAGUGUAAUUUGUAUAUAAUCUGUGGUAGCCAGUAGGAUUGUGUUUUUAGUUUUGGGGUAGUUGUUUUUAGGUGUAUUGUACGUUUGUUUGGUGAAGGUAAAUUGAGGUUUGUGUUGGGCUGUUGGAGGAACAGAGAAAAAUGCUUUGGCCAUGUUAAUACGAGUGUGCAAUUCAGUUUGGAUUUUAGUUUGUAUUGGAGUUUUAAUACAUUUGGUUCUGUGUUGUGUAAUGGUGGAGUUCUUUAAGGAAUGAUAGCUGGUAGUAGUUUAUUUUCUGUAUGUUGGUGUAUAGGUUGAAUGGGGUUGUUGAAGGGCGUGUGGGGUUUGUUGCUUAGUUUUGGGUUUUGAGUUACGGAGUAUUUUGUGGAUGGGACAAGUAUCUUGAGUUGGGUGCUGUUGGUAGUGUCUUGUUGAGGGGGUAAUUGGUAUUUGUUAGGGUUUUUUAAAGUAGCUUUAUUACAGUUGUUUGGUAGUUGAGCUAAGGUGUUGAUUUGUUUUCUCUUGGUUUGGCAGUAGAUAUAUAAAAUGCUUAUUUGAGUUUUGAGGGCUUCUGGAACAUUUGUACUGGAAGAGAUUUAGAGUGUUUAGAAUGCUUCACUUUUUGGGUUUGUUAUAAUGGGAUUUAAAUACUUCUCUAGCUACUUUGUUAGGUUUUAUUACAGUUAAAUAUUGUGCUUCCUUGAUUUUGAUAUUAACAGAUAUGGGAUUAGUUUUUCUAUGUCGUGAUGGCUUUAGUGUGUGCUGUGUAUGAGUGUUGACAAAGGUUUUAUUGUUUCGGGUGUCCCUUUGUGCAAAGUCCAGUGGUGAAGGAGGAUUGAGUGAGUGACAAGUGGGGUCUGGCAUGAAAAUGGUUCUGUUAAAAUGGAGCAAAGACUGCAAUAAGAAAAAUGAGCAUUCAUUUUAAUGUCUGAAAGGGUUAGGAACAAAAAUGCUGGAGAGGGGCACUUUUAUAUUUGAAUUGGUGUCACCUGUCUUGGAUCAAGCCCCACAGCGAGCAGUCCAGAUCAGAAGUGUGAAAGCUGGGAUCCUUUGACUUCUGCAGGGGACUUCAUUUUCUUU